rnacentral:rRNA from 1 species
UACGUAGGUGGCGAGCGUUCUCCGGAUUUACUGGGUGUAAAGGGCGCGUAGGCGGGGAUGCAAGUCAGAUGUGAAAUCCAUGGGCUCAACCCAUGAACUGCAUUUGAAACUGUAUUUCUUGAGUGCUGGAGAGGUAGACGGAAUUCCUUGUGUAGCGGUGAAAUGCGUAGAUAUAAGGAAGAACACCAGUGGCGAAGGCGGUCUACUGGACAGUAACUGACGCUGAGGCGCGAAAGCGUGGGGAG